CUGGUGGAGAGGGGUCAUUAGCCCUUUUUCAGCUGUGUAAAGUGUGAGGGUAGGGCCCCAGCGGGGACCUGCUGAAAGCGGAUGUCCCUCCACUCCCAGCGGAGGGGCUUCGAGGGAGGAAAGCCCAUCUAGGUGGGUGUUCAGGGCUGCCUUACCCGCCCCUCGACUCGUGCCUGCAAUGCAAGCGGAUGCCUGUGACACAGACUGGAGGACCAGGACUUAUGGAAGCCCUCACCCAUUAGCUGGAGCUGUCCCACCACAGACUGGGCUAAAUGGCC
rnacentral:lncRNA from 1 species